AAGCGUGGGGGGAGGGGAGGCAGGCCGUAGUGGUGCAUGGGGUUUAACCCUUUACCUGCCCCCAUGAAAGUAAAGUCAAAUCCCUCCUUCACACAUUUCCGAUGCAGCUGAUUGGGGAGCGCGGUGAACCCGACGGAUUCCUUAUCCUGAGACAGCACCCGGAGUCUGGGGCCCGCAGACCAGCAACAGAACCCAGGAGUCCGGGCUUCCAGCAGCAGGCGCUGGCAGUGGGGGGAAGCUCCCGGCUGCCCCAGCCGCUCCCAGGAGGGGGUGCUCUCCCCUGCAGUCAGGGCUGGGCCCUAGCGGUGACAGAAAGCAGAGAUGCGAGGGUUGGUGUCCCUGAGCCCCAAAGAAACCCGCAAACUUUCGAUCAAGUCCUGCUCGGUUUGGGGGCGAACUCGUAUUUUUUGGACCGUCAAGUAUUCGCGUGCGCACAGACACCCCCGCCGCGGACUGGAUGUCUGUGCAAGAUCUGCAACUGGUCUUCGAUCCUAAGCAGCUAGCACCUUUCCACGCUACUCGCUGGCAACGCAACUCCAGCCUGGACCCCUCCAUCACCUCCAAAGAUCAACGCUUCAUGCAUGUCGCAAAAUACUUCCCGACUUCCCCCACAGCCAACAUAGGCCCAUCAUCACCCACGUCGGCACCGAAAUCCCUGUGAUUCUGUCAAAACGAAUCCCACGGUGGAAUCUGGCCAAAGCCAACCGGGACAGCUAUAGGGAAUCCAUCGAAAACGUGGUGACACUGGCAUGUUAUCACCGGUUUGUUGGCCGCUUACCACCGCCAAGAAGAGCAUCUCUGGGGGCUUCCAGGAAGAAAACACUCCCUGCUGGACAAAAGAGACCCAGGAUCUGCUCCAGCAGUACAACCAGUCGGGCAGCCCACAGGUUACAAAGGCCCUGCUAGGUUCUCUAGACUGAGCCAGUUCAAGGACUGGACUUCACACACUCAAGUCACCAUGUCUGGGUCCUACUAUGACAUCUCGGAGCCACUAAUUGGACAGAAUAUCAAAUCUCAAAAGUUCAGCCCAACUCCAUAGCCUCCAAAUUGGUGGAGAGCACCAAAACACCAAAACACCAAGCAAGAGAUCCAUCAUCAGCUACACCAGCCAAUGACUUCAGUCCCUCCACACGACGCCACCACCAUCAGCACAGAAGAAGUGAAGAAGGGUUUAGCCACAACGAAGAAAGGGAAGGCGGCCGGCGGAGAUGGUAUCUCCCUGGAAUUUCUUCAUCAAGUAGGUCUCAAGGGACUCCAAUGGCUGGCGAAAUGUUACACCAAAACCAUCCCAAAAGCCCGGUAGGAGGCAAUCGUCGGUGCCAUAUUCCAACCGGGGAAGCUGACUGACGACCCGGGAAGCUUGAAGCCGAUAUCACUCCUGUGCAUGACUUACAAACCCUGGGACGUAUCAUCCUCCACAGAAUCUGCUCUCCCAUCGACUCAGUGAUCCCCGAAGAACAAGGGGGAUUCCAGCGUAAACGCA
rnacentral:lncRNA from 1 species